AUUGAACGCUGGCGGGAUGCUUUACACAUGCAAGUCGAACGGUAGAGGGGGCAACCCCUCGAGAGUGGCGAACGGGUGAGUAAUAUAUCGGAACGUGCCCAGUCGUGGGGGAUAACGUAGCGAAAGUUACGCUAAUACCGCAUACGAUCUACGGAUGAAAGCGGGGGGUCGCAAGACCUCGCGCGAUUGGAGCGGCCGAUAUCAGAUUAGGUAGUUGGGGGGGUAAAGGCUCACCAAGCCAACGAUCUGUAGCUGGUCUGAGAGGACGACCAGCCACACUGGAGCUGAGACACGGUCCAGACUCCUACGGGAGGCAGCAGUGGGGAAUUUUGGACAAUGGACGCAAGUCUGAUCCAGCCAUUCCGCGUGCAGGAUGAAGGCCCUCGGGUUGUAAACUACUUUUGUACGGAACGAAAAGGUCUCUCUUAAUACGGGGGACUCAUGACGGUACCGUAAGAAUAAGCACCGGCUAACUACGUGCCAGCAGCCGCCGCGGUAA
rnacentral:rRNA from 1 species